GUCUCAGUAGUAUAAACAUUACCUUGGUCUUGUAAACCAAAAAUGAGAUCUUUCCUCCCUCCUGAGAUA
ensembl:Mt_tRNA